GGCUGGGUGUGGAAUGUGUACUUUUCCCUUUCUUCAGCUGUCACCCUUCCCCCACCCCGCCAAGGGUGCCCCUCUUACACCCUCAGCACACCCGUGGCUUGGAAACCCCCUGAAUGUAGAAUCGCUGAGGCGGCCGUUCAGAAAACGGGGAAAGUCCUCUGGGGAUAGGGAUGUAAGUCGGUUGCUUAAAUGCCUGCCCGACGCCCUGUGGUGAAAAACUGGGUUUGAUGCUCAACGCUCCAUGAAACCAGGCACAGUGUAAUCAGCGAGGAAUCCAGGAAGAGCAGCCGGAACUAUGAAGCAAGGAGCGACCUUCCCCUUCCACCAGCCCUGCCAGCCACGCCAGCAUUCACCGUCUCCCGGGAAGACCCAAAGAGCUGAGGCACAGCUCCCUGUCAUACCACCUGAACACCGCCUGGCUUAAGUCUCUUCUAGAGACUCCAGAGCAGUGGCUGUAAACAGAAAGGCUCCUGUCACCUCCGAGAGUUGGAGUAUAUUCCGAGGCCCCUGACUCUGUGCACCUAGAGGCAGAAACCUGCCAUCUAAGUGCUUAAUGCCGGACGCUUGCAGCAAGCAGUGAUGUAGGAGAGUGUGUUCAGACGAUCCCAGGAAGAAAUGUUACCUUAGAAUCCUUGCUAGCUGGGGGCUGAACCACACCCCUACCUCCAGCCUCCAUUUCGACACUGGCAAUAUGAAGAUUAUUGUACAGCCUUUACCUUUGGGAAAAAUUAAAUUGACUAUCAUCUGGUACAGUAAGAGUGUUCAAUACAAUGGAAGAAUCGUGCGAGAUCCUGACCAUCAGAGCCCCCCACACAGCUACCUCUUCAACCUGUACAGCCAUGACUUCGACAUUUGAUACAUUCAUGAGAAGUGCACCAGCCCCAAGGAGCAUCGGGAAGACGCUGACCUCACCAAGCCACAAAAAGAGCCCACUCCCCUCAGCCUCCCGCUCGUCUACCAUGGGAAGCAGAGGGUAUCAGAUAUGCUGCUUAAGCCAUUUAUCACUGGUUCAUGGCACCAACGGGGCCAAUCUAGGCAGCCUGGCCUGCAUUUCCCCCAAUUUUCCCUUUCCCUUGUUGUUUGCUGUUAUCUGAACGCCUGUCAUCUUCAGGAAGACACAAAUGCUACGCGAAUUCACAAUGCACUGCCAACGAAACCCUCCCAGCUGUUUGGAGGAUUUAUCUUCGUGCUAAGUAGAGAACAAAUGAAACCCAGGAAUGUCUUAAUUAACUCCAUAAGCAUCAGCUGGGGAUUUCUGCCCCCCACCCUUCCCCCUAUCUCGCCGUUAGUCAAUGAGGACAGGGAAUCAACCCAGAUAGUUUCUGCUAGGGUUUUCGACGAAGAUGGGGGCGCAGGGAAGGCGCUCCCAUUUGGAAGAAGACUGGCCCAGCUCACCCCCAAGAGCUGUCUGUCAUUGACUGUGACCAUCUGUAAGCUCCUAACCCUCUCUGUGAGGUCACUUGUAAAUUGGUAGCCAGAAGAAUAAAGACUAGGCUUUGCCAAGCCCUUGGUUUGUGCA